GAGCUAAUACAUGCGAAAAGUCUCCGAACUUACGUGAGGGGCGCUUUUAUUAGAUCAAAACCAAUCGGCUUCGGCUGUUUUCUUGGUGACUCUGAAUAACUUUGGGCUGAUCGCAUAGCCUUGCGCUGGCGACAUAUCCUUCGAAGGUGUGCCCUAUCAACUGUCGACUGUGGCAUAGACGCCCACAGUGGUUUUGACGGGUAACGGGGAAUCAGGGUUCGAUUCCGGAGAGGGAGCCUUAAAAACGGCUACCACAUCUAAGGAAGGCAGCAGGCACGCAAAUUACCCAAUGACCGAAGGUCGAGGUAGUGACGAAAAAUAACGAUCCAGGACUCAUCCGAGGCCCUGGAAUCGGAAUGAGUACACUUUAAAACCGUCCCCGAGGAUCUAUUGGAGGGCAAGUCUGGUGCCAGCAGCCGCGGUAAUUCCAGCUCCAAUAGCGUAUAUUAAAGUUGUUGUGGUUAAAAAGCUCGUAGUUGGAUCUCGGCAGAUUUGGGGCGGUUUAGUUGCUACUAUUACUGCCCUAUAAUCUGUAGUUUUUGCCAGAGGUUUUAGGGUGCUCUUAAUCGAGUGUCCUGAGAUGCUGGCAGGUUUACUUUGAAAAAAUUAGAGUGCUUAAAGCAGGCUAGUACGCCUGAAUAUUCGUGCAUGGAAUAAUAAAAUAGGAAGUCGUUUCUAUUUUGUUGGUUUUCGGAAAUCGACUUAAUGAUUAAUAGGGACAGUCGGGGGCAUUUGUAUUCAAACGACAGAGGUGAAAUUCUUGGACCGUUUGAAGACAAACUACAGCGAAAGCAUUUGC
rnacentral:rRNA from 1 species